rnacentral:tRNA from 1 species
GAGAGUAUAGCUCAGUGGUUAGAGUGAGUGCUUAGCAUGCACAAGGUCCUGGGUUCAAUCCUCAGUACCUCCA